rnacentral:misc_RNA from 1 species
ACUCCGUUGGUGAACCAGCGGAGGGAUCAUUACAGGACUCGCAAGACUCCUACAACCCUGUGAACUUAACUAUAAGCACGUUGCUUCGGCGGGUGUCUCGGAGGGGGUUCUCCCUCCCCGAGACGCUAAACCCGCCGGCAGCCUACUAUACUCUGUCUCUUUGCGUUGGCAUCUCGAGUACAAUCAAACAAGUUAAAACUUUCAACAACGGAUCUCUUGGUUCUG